AACCCCCCACGUGGCGACAUCUUGCCCAACUCCCCCAGGGCCGGAAGGCAGCAAGGGCAAGCAAGCUCUGUCGGGUGCGUGGGGGGCCUCU
rfam:Nocardioides sp. Soil805 contig_1, whole genome shotgun sequence.